rnacentral:rRNA from 1 species
UACAGAGGUGCCGAGCGUUAGGCGGAAUCACUGGGCUUAAAGCGUGUGUAGGCGGACGUCUAAGUACCUUGUGAAAUCCCACGGCUCACCCGUGGAACUGCUGGGUAUACUGGGCGUCUUGAGCCACCUAGGGGCCAGCGGAACAAAUGGCGGAGCGGUGAAAUGCGUAGAUAUCAUUUGGAACGCCAACGGUGAAAACAGCUGGCUGGGGGUGUGCUGACGCUGAGACACGAAAGCCAGGGGAGCGAACGGG